rnacentral:tRNA from 2 species
UCCACAGUAGCUCAGUGGUAGAGCUAUCGGCUGUUAACCGAUCGGUCGUAGGUUCAAGUCCUACCUGUGGAGCCA